rnacentral:rRNA from 1 species
AGCAAGUCCGCCUCGGCGGCACCAAGGUUGACCUCGGAUCAGGUAGGAAUACCCGCUGAACUUAAGCAUAUCAAUAAGCGGAGGAAAAGAAACCAACAGGGAUUGCCCUAGUAACGGCGAGUGAAGCGGCAACAGCUCAAAUUUGAAAUCUGGUCCUUUCAGGGCCCGAGUUGUAAUUUGCAGAGGAUGCUUCGGGUACGGGUGCCUACUGAGUUCCCUGGAACGGGACGCCAUAGAGGGUGAGAGCCCCGUCUAGUAGGAUACCCAGCCCAUGUGAAGCUCCCUCGACGAGUCGAGUAGUUUGGGAAUGCUGCUCUAACGGGAGGUAUACUCCUUCCAAGGCUAAAUACCGGCUGGAGACCGAUAGCGCACAAGUAGAGUGAUCGAAAGAUGAAAAGCACUUUGAAAAGAGAGUCAAAUAGCACGUGAAAUUGUUGAAAGGGAAGCGCUCGCUACCAGACUUGAGUUAGGCGGUUCAACCGGGGCCACGCCCCGGGGCACUCCACCUGCUCAGGCCAGCAUCAGCUUUCCGUCGGGGGCAAAGGCGUCGGGAAUGUGGCUCUCCCUCGGGAGAGUGUUAUAGCCCGGCGUGUCAUACCCUUCGGGGGGCUGAGGUACGCGCUUCUGCAAGGAUGCUGGCGUAAUGGUAGCUAGUGACCCGUCUUGAAACACGGACCAAGGAGUCAACCUUAUGUGCGAGUGCCCGGGCGUAAAACCCCAGCGCGGAAUGAAAGUGAACGUAGGUGAGAGCUUCGGCGCAUCACCGACCGAUCCUGAUGUCCUCGGACGGAUUUGAGUGAGAGCAUAUAGGGUUGGACCCGAAAGAAGAUGAACUAUGCGUGUGUAGGGUGAAGCCAGAGGAAACUCUGGUGGAGGCUCGCAGCGGUUCUGACGUGCAAAUCGAUCGUCAAACAUGCGCAUGGGGGCGAAAGACUAAUCGAAUCUUCUGGUAGCUGGUUUCC